AUUGAACGCUGGCGGCAUGCUUUACACAUGCAAGUCGAACGGUAACAGGCCUUCGGGUGCUGACGAGUGGCGAACGGGUGAGUAAUGCAUCGGAACGUGCCCAAUCGUGGGGGAUAACGUAGCGAAAGUUACGCUAAUACCGCAUAAGCCCUGAGGGGGAAAGUGGGGGACCGCAAGGCCUCACGCGAAUGGAGCGGCCGAUGUCAGAUUAGCUAGUUGGUGGGGUAAAGGCCCACCAAGGCGACGAUCUGUAGCGGGUCUGAGAGGAUGAUCCGCCACACUGGGACUGAGACACGGCCCAGACUCCUACGGGAGGCAGCAGUGGGGAAUUUUGGACAAUGGGCGCAAGCCUGAUCCAGCCAUGCCGCGUGCGGGACGAAGGCCUUCGGGUUGUAAAUACGCUUUCUAGCCGG
rnacentral:rRNA from 1 species